UAAAGCCUAACACAUGCAAGUCGAACGGCAGCACAGGAGAGCUUGCUCUCUGGGUGGCGAGUGGCGGACGGGUGAGGAAUACAUCGGAAUCUACUCUGUCGUGGGGGAUAACGUAGGAAACUUACGCUAAUACCGCAUACGACCUACGGGUGAAAGCAGGGGAUCUUCGGACCUUGCGCGAUUGAAUGAGCCGAUGUCGGAUUAGCUAGUUGGCGGGGUAAAAGGCCCA
rnacentral:rRNA from 1 species